rnacentral:rRNA from 1 species
UGGGGAAUAUUGGACAAUGGGCGCAAGCCUGAUCCAGCCAUGCCGCGUGGAUGAUGAAGGCCCUAGGGUUGUAAAGUCCUUUCGGCGGGGAAGAUAAUGACGGUACCCGCAGAAGAAGCCCCGGCUAACUUCGUGCCAGCAGCCGCGGUAAUACGAAGGGGGCUAGCGUUGCUCGGAAUCACUGGGCGUAAAGCGCACGUAGGCGGUCUUUUAAGUCAGGGGUGAAAUCCUGGAGCUCAACUCCAGAACUGCCUUUGAUACUGAGAGACUUGAGUCCGGGAGAGGUGAGUGGAACUGCGAGUGUAGAGGUGAAAUUCGUAGAUAUUCGCAAGAACACCAGUGGCGAAGGCGGCUCACUGGCCCGGUACUGACGCUGAGGUGCGAAAGCGUGGGGAGCAAACAGG